rnacentral:rRNA from 1 species
AAUAGAUACCCGGGUAGUCCACGCCGUAAACGAUGUCGACUUGGAGGUUGUUCCCUUGAGGAGUGGCUUCCGGAGCUAACGCGUUAAGUCGACCGCCUGGGGAGUACGGCCGCAAGGUUAAAACUCAAAUGAAUUGACGGGGGCCCGCACAAGCGGUGGAGCAUGUGGUUUAAUUCGAUGCAACGCGAAGAACCUUACCUACUCUUGACAUCCAGAGAACUUUCCAGAGAUGGAUUGGUGCCUUCGGGAACUCUGAGACAGGUGCUGCAUGGCUGUCGUCAGCUCGUGUUGUGAAAUGUUGGGUUAAGUCCCGCAACGAGCGCAACCCUUAUCCUUUGUUGCCAGCGGUUCGGCCGGGAACUCAAAGGAGACUGCCAGUGAUAAACUGGAGGAAGGUGGGGAUGACGUCAAGUCAUCAUGGCCCUUACGAGUAGGGCUACACACGUGCUACAAUGGCGUAUACAAAGAGAAGCGACCUCGCGAGAGCAAGCGGACCUCAUAAAGUACGUCGUAGUCCGGAUUGGAGU